CACCGGCGCCUCCGACGUCGAUAUCGUGUCCCGGUACCUGUACUUGAAAUCAGAACACCACUUGCGGUAUUUCUCCACAUCUUUCCUCGCGGAUUCCAAUUCGGCCUUCUUCGAUGCCAAUCGGCUGCUGAGUUCCCCUAAUUUCACCUCCUUUCCCUUCAAUUCCUUCCCGUAAUCGACGAUCGCUUCGUUCACUUCAUCUUCGGGAGCCUCGCCGCGGUAG
rnacentral:lncRNA from 1 species